AUUGAACGCUGGCGGCAGGCCUAACACAUGCAAGUCGAGCGGAUGAAGGGAGCUUGCUCCUGGAUUCAGCGGCGGACGGGUGAGUAAUGCCUAGGAAUCUGCCUGGUAGUGGGGGAUAACGUCCGGAAACGGGCGCUAAUACCGCAUACGUCCUGAGGGAGAAAGUGGGGGAUCUUCGGACCUCACGCUAUCAGAUGAGCCUAGGUCGGAUUAGCUAGUUGGUGGGGUAAAGGCCUACCAAGGCGACGAUCCGUAACUGGUCUGAGAGGAUGAUCAGUCACACUGGAACUGAGACACGGUCCAGACUCCUACGGGAGGCAGCAGUGGGGAAUAUUGGACAAUGGGCGAAAGCCUGGUCCAGCCAUGCCGCGUGUGUGAAGAAGGUCUUCGGAUUGUAAAGCACUUUUAGUUGGGAGGAAGGGCAGUAAGUUAAUACCUUGCUGUUUUGACGUUACCAACAGAAUAAGCACCGGCUAACUUCGUG
rnacentral:rRNA from 1 species